rfam:Danio rerio chromosome 2, GRCz11 reference primary assembly.
GUGGGUUAUGGAGAUAUCUAUCCCCAAACUCUUCUAGGCAAAAUAGUAGGUGGACUCUGUUGUAUUGCUGGCGUAUUAGUGAUUGCUUUGCCCAUUCCUAUUAUCGUCAACAAC